UACGGGGGGAGCAAGCGUUGUUCGGAUUUACUGGGCGUAAAGGGCGCGUAGGCGGUCAGCACAAGUCAGUUGUGAAAUCUCCGGGCUUAACUCGGAAAGGUCAACUGAUACUGUGCGACUAGAGUGCGGAAGGGGCAACUGGAAUUCUCGGUGUAGCAGUGAAAUGCGUAGAGAUCAUGAGGAAGACCAGUGGCGAAGGCGGGUCUCUGGACAGUUCCUGACACUGAGGCACGAAGGCCAGGGGAGCAAACGGG
rnacentral:rRNA from 1 species